rnacentral:rRNA from 1 species
ACUCCUACGGGAGGCAGCAGUGGGGAAUAUUGCACAAUGGGCGCAAGCCUGAUGCAGCCAUGCCGCGUGUAUGAAGAAGGCCUUCGGGUUGUAAAGUACUUUCAGCAGUGAGGAAGGCGGGUACGGUUAAUAGCGUGCUUGUUUGUACGUUAGCUGCAGAAGAAGCACCGGCUAACUCCGUGCCAGCAGCCGCGGUAAUACGGAGGGUGCGAGCGUUAAUCGGAAUUACUGGGCGUAAAGCGCAUGCAGGUUGGUUUGUUAAGUCAGAUGUGAAAGCCCGGGGCUCAACCUCGGAAUUGCAUUUGAAACUGGCAGACUAGAGUACUGUAGAGGGGGUAGAAUUUCAGGUGUAGCGGUGAAAUGCGUAGAGAUCUGAAGGAAUACCGGUGGCGAAGGCGGCCCCCGUGGACAGAUACUGACACUCAGAUGCGAAAGCGUGGGAGCAAACAGGAUUAGAUACCCCUGGUAGCGACUGA